GGCCUAAAAGAAUGCUAAAUUGCAAGUUUGGUUUUGAAAGUAGAUUUUCGUAGGCUUA
rnacentral:tRNA from 1 species